rnacentral:rRNA from 1 species
CCGCUGACGAGUGGCGAACGGGUGAGUAAUAUAUCGGAACGUACCCAAGAGUGGGGGAUAACGUAGCGAAAGUUACGCUAAUACCGCAUACGAUCUAAGGAUGAAAGCAGGGGAUCUUCGGACCUUGUGCUCCUGGAGCGGCCGAUAUCUGAUUAGCUAGUUGGUGAGGUAAAGGCUCACCAAGGCGACGAUCAGUAGCUGGUCUGAGAGGACGACCAGCCACACUGGAACUGAGACACGGUCCAGACUCCUACGGGAGGCAGCAGUGGGGAAUUUUGGACAAUGGGCGCAAGCCUGAUCCAGCAAUGCCGCGUGAGUGAAGAAGGCCUUCGGGUUGUAAAGCUCUUUUGUCAGGGAAGAAACGGUAGAGGCUAAUAUCCUUUGCUAAUGACGGUACCUGAAGAAUAAGCACCGGCUAACUACGUGCCAGCAGCCGCGGUAAUACGUAGGGUGCAAGCGUUAAUCGGAAUUACUGGGCGUAAAGCGUGCGCAGGCGGUUUUGUAAGUCUGUCGUGAAAUCCCCGGGCUCAACCUGGGAAUUGCGAUGGAGACUGCAAGGCUAGAAUCUGGCAGAGGGGGGUAGAAUUCCACGUGUAGCAGUGAAAUGCGUAGAGAUGUGGAGGAACACCGAUGGCGAAGGCAGCCCCCUGGGUCAAGAUUGACGCUCAUGCACGAAAGCGUGGGGAGCAAACAGGAUUAGAUACCCUGGUAGUCCACGCCCUAAACGAUGUCUACUAGUUGUCGGGUUUUAAUUAACUUGGUAACGCAGCUAACGCGUGAAGUAGACCGCCUGGGGAGUACGGUCGCAAGAUUAAAACUCAAAGGAAUUGACGGGGACCCGCACAAGCGGUGGAUGAUGUGGAUUAAUUCGAUGCAACGCGAAAAACCUUACCUACCCUUGACAUGUACGGAAGCCACGAGAGAUCGAGGCGUGCUCGAAAGAGAGCCGUAACACAGGUGCUGCAUGGCUGUCGUCAGCUCGUGUCGUGAGAUGUUGGGUUAAGUCCCGCAACGAGCGCAACCCUUGUCAUUAGUUGCUACAUUCAGUUGAGCACUCUAAUGAGACUGCCGGUGACAAACCGGAGGAAGGUGGGGAUGACGUCAAGUCCUCAUGGCCCUUAUGGGUAGGGCUUCACACGUCAUACAAUGGUACAUACAGAGGGCCGCCAACCCGCGAGGGGGAGCUAAUCCCAGAAAGUGUAUCGUAGUCCGGAUCGCAGUCUGCAACUCGACUGCGUGAAGUUGGAAUCGCUAGUAAUCGCGGAUCAGCAUGUCGCGGUGAAUACGUUCCCGGGUCUUGUACACACCGCCCGUCACACCAUGGGAGCGGGUUUUUACCAGAAGUAGGUAGCUUAACCGCA